rnacentral:rRNA from 1 species
CAGUAGCCGCGGUAAUACGGAGGGUGCAAGCGUUAAUCGGAAUUACUGGGCGUAAAGCGCACGCAGGCGGUCUGUCAAGUCGGAUGUGAAAUCCCUGAGCUUAACUUAGGAAUUGCAUUCGAUACUGGGAAGCUAGAGUAUGGGAGAGGAUGGUAGAAUUCCAGGUGUAGCGGUGAAAUGCGUAGAGAUCUGGAGGAAUACCGAUGGCGAAGGCAGCCAUCUGGCCUAAUACUGACGCUGAGGUACGAAAGCAUGGGGAGCAAACAGGAUUAGAGACCCCUGUAGUCCCUGUCUCUUAUAC